rnacentral:piRNA from 1 species
UGAAGCUCAGGCCACACUGCUGUGCGUUU